GUUCUUUCUCUGGUUUCAUCAGGACCACACUCUGAUCCACCACCCGCAGACCACAGAGAGACCCAGGAGAAGCCUGGACCUCGAGAGACACGUCUGAUCCGGGAAGAACUUCACUGGGGGAAAACCCAGCUGACACCUAGAAAAAAGUUACAACAUAAGACUUAGUUGAAAUAGAACACUAGUUAUGGUCCAGUUAUCUGACUAAGCAAAUUUAACAGCAGAUGCCUGGUCGGCCAAUCACUGGUUAAGGUAAGACAACGCUGUGGUCAGUGAUUGCCUGAGAGUGAAUUUUUACAUGGAAUUCAGGAAGUGUUGCCCAGCAGGAAUUGGGCACCAUUAAAAUCAUGCAGGAGAGAUCAUCAGUAUCAAAACUUUUGGGUGCCGACAUCUGACACCAAACCGCCACAGACCACCCCCCCCUUCGGUCAGGCACCAAUAUUCACAAAGAAACAGAGAUGGAAGUAGGCAGCUUCAUGCAGUGAUUGGUUACUGUAGAUCAACUUCCAUUCCACCGAUCUGAAUUUUCCUUGAAAACCUUUAC